UGGGGAAUCUUGCGCAAUGGCCGAAAGGCUGACGCAGCGACGCCGCGUGCGGGAGGAAGCCCUUCGGGGUGUAAACCGCUGUCAGGGGGGAAGAAACCUCAGGGUUGGAAUACGGCCUUGAGCUGACGGUACCCCCAGAGGAAGCGCCGGCUAACUCCGUGCCAGCAGCCGCGGUAAGACGGAGGGCGCGAGCGUUGUUCGGAAUUACUGGGCGUAAAGCGCGCGCAGGCGGACGGUGCAAGUCAGGGGUGAAAUUCUGGGGCUCAACCUCGGAACUGCCUUUGAUACAGCAAGUCUAGAGUCCGGAAGAGGUGAGUGGAAUUCCUAGUGUAGAGGUGAAAUUCGUAGAUAUUAGGAGGAACACCAGUGGCGAAGGCGGCUCACUGGUCCGGCACUGACGCUGAGGUGCGAAAGCGUGGGGGAGCGAACAGGAUUAGAUACC
rnacentral:rRNA from 1 species